GAUGAACGCUAGCGGGAGGCUUAACACAUGCAAGUCGAGGGGCAGCAUAGGGUAGCAAUACUCUGAUGGCGACCGGCAAACGGGUGAGUAACGCGUAUGCAACCUACCCUGUACAGGGGGAUAACCCGGAGAAAUUCGGACUAAUAUCCCGUAAUAAUAUCCGGAGGCAUCUUUGGAUAUUUAAAGUUCCGACGGUACGGGAUGGGCAUGCGUAACAUUAGCUGGUUGGUAAGGUAACGGCUUACCAAGGCUAUGAUGUUUAGGGGUCCUGAGAGGGUGGUCCCCCACACUGGUACUGAGACACGGUCCAGACUCCUACGGGAGGCAGCAGUGGGGAAUUUUGGACAAUGGGCGCAAGCCUGAUCCAGCCAUUCCGCGUGCAGGAAGGAGGCCCUACGGGUUGUAAACUGCUUUUACCCGGGAAGAAACCGCCCCUGUGGGGGCGUUGCCGGUACCGGGGAAAAGGAUCGGCUAACUCCGUG
rnacentral:rRNA from 1 species